rnacentral:RNase_P_RNA from 2 species
ACAGCUCAAAAGCUACGAGGCUCACUACGCACAAGACACGUCUCGCACGCGUCUUCCCUUCUGAGCGGGAUAAGGUCUGAGCGUUCCAAUCUCCCUCGAUCGUCCCUAGAUGGGACCAGUCUUCAUGGACUGAGCGACGUACCAGAAAAACAGUUGCGCAAUUGUCCAACUUUGAAAGGCGUCGUGGAGAUUGGGUGGGUGGCUUUCCUUACCAUCAUACGCAGAUCGGUGCUCUCUCUAUCGCGGCGGGUCGUGCCCUCUUGUGGGCGCACAACUGUGGUCGCAGCUUCAGCUCAGUGCUGAUUCAGCAGUGUGGAUCGAUUGGCACCUCGGGAUACGUACCUGAGGAGAGGAGCAGCACAGCCAUAUAGCUGAUCGCUGAACGGGCCAGAGAGCCCAUCCGUUAACGGGAUUAUGAAUCUCAGGCGAAAAAUCAUCCGCCGAUGGGGAGAAUUCCCCGAGUGACGCUACCGUCACCCUCUGUGAUCACACAUCACCUGGACUUGUAGAAGUCCCCUGACAUAUUUGUCAGUACUGGGAAAUCCAGUCAGCCUUGUCAAUCCCGGCCGCGUUGUCCCUGCACUGUAUCAACCAGUGUCACAACCGUCGUACCACAUCGGAGCGAUGGGUGUGUGCCGUAUGAGGAGAGGAGCCGAUCUGUCGUCUUGGUAUAGGACCACCUAUCCUUUAGUUCACUUCGUGGCUCGCAGUCCUUUGUUGGCUGCGAAACUCGAUUCAGACUACUCUUGAACUGU